rnacentral:rRNA from 1 species
GAUCCUGGCUCAGGACGAACGCUGGCGGCGCGCCUAACACAUGCAAGUCGAACGAGAGAUGAGGAGCUUGCUCUUCAAAUCGAGUGGCGAACGGGUGAGUAACGCGUGAGGAACCUGCCUCAAAGAGGGGGACAACAGUCGGAAACGACUGCUAAUACCGCAUAAGCCCACGGCUCGGCAUCGAGCAGAGGGAAAAGGAGUGAUCCGCUUUGAGAUGGCCUCGCGUCCGAUUAG